AUCCCUGUAGUGCAAUGGGUAGCGCGUUGGACUUCUAAUCCAAAGGUCGUAGGUUUACCUAGGAUG